GGCAGAGGUUACUGCUAUCGAGGUUCGACUAAGCCAUGCGAGUCGAAUGUAGCAAUACAUGGCGAACUGCUCAGUAACACGUGGACAACCUGCCCUUAGGUUGGGUAUAAACCCGGGAAACUGGGUAUAAUACCCGAUAGGUCUCGAUUGCUGGAAUGCAUCGAGAUUUAAAGCUCCGGCGCCUAAGGAUGGGUCUGCGGCCUAUCAGGUAGUAGUGGGUGUAGCGUACCUACUAGCCUACGACGGGUACGGGUUGUGAGAGCAAGAGCCCGGAGAUGGAUUCUGAGACACGAAUCCAGGCCCUACGGGGUGCAGCAGGCGCGAAAACUUUACAAUGCUGGCAACAGCGAUAAGGGAACCUCGAGUGCCAGGUUACAAAUCUGGCUGUCGAGAUGCCUAAAAAGCAUUUCAUAGCAAGGGCCGGGCAAGACCGGUGCCAGCCGCCGCGGUAACACCGGCGGCUCGAGUGGUAACCGUUAUUAUUGGGUCUAAAGGGUCUGUAGCCGGCCGGAUAAGUCUCUUGAGAAAUCUGGCAGCUUAACUGUCAGGCUUUCAGGAGAUACUGUCUGGUUCGAGGCCGGGAGAGGUGAGAGGUACUUCAGGGGUAGGGGUGAAAUCUUGUAAUCCUUGAAGGACCACCAGUGGCGAAGGCGUCUCACCAGAACGGACCUGACGGCAAGGGACGAAAGCUAGGGGCACGAACCGGAUUAGAUACCCGGGUAG
rnacentral:rRNA from 1 species